GACGAACGCUGGCGGCGUGCCUAAUACAUGCAAGUUGAGCGCUGAAGGCUUGUACUUGUACCGACUGCAUGUGCCGCGCACGGGUGAGUAACGCGUGUGGCAUCUGCCUUUGAUCGGGGUACAACAUUUGGAAUCGGAUGCUAAUACCGCAUAAGAACUUUCAACACAGGGUUUAAGUGUAAAAUUUGCAGUUUCAUCACUCAAUGAUGAUCCCGCGUUGUAUUAGUUUGGUGGUGAGGUACAGGCUCACCAAGGCGAGGAUACAUAGCCGACCGGACAGGGUGGUCGGCCACAUUGGGACGGAGACACGGCCCAAAGGCCUACGGGAGGCAGCAGUAGGGAAUCUUCGGCAAUGGGCGAAAGUCUGACCGAGAAACGCGGAGGGAGUGAAGAGGGUUGUCGGGUCGGAAAUGUCGGUUGGUAGAGAAGAACGUGGGUUAGAGUGGAAAGCUCAGCGAGUGACGGUAACUACCAAGAAAGCGACGGCUAACUACGUG
rnacentral:rRNA from 1 species